AUUGAACGCUGGCGGCAGGCCUAACACAUGCAAGUCGAACGAGUGGCGGACGGGUGAGUAAUGUCUGGGAAACUGCCUGAUGGAUGGGGAUAACUACUGGAAACGGUAGCUAAUACCGCAUACCAUCGGAUGUGCCCAGAUGGGAUUAGCUAGUAGGUGGGGUAACGGCUCACCUAGGCGACGAUCCCUAGCGUGUCUGAGAGGAUGACCAGCCACACUGGAACUGAGACACGGUCCAUACGCCUACGGGAGGCAGCAGUGGGGAGUAGUGCACAAUGGGCGCAAGCCUGAUGCAGCCAUGACGCGUGUAUGAAGAAGGCCUUCGGGUUGUAAAGGACUUUCAGCGGGGAGGCGUUACCCGCAGAAGAAGCACCGGCUAACUCCGUGCCAGCAGCCGCGGUAAUAC
rnacentral:rRNA from 1 species